rnacentral:rRNA from 1 species
UACAGAGGUGGCAAGCGUUGUUCGGAAUUACUGGGCGUAAAGGGCGCGUAGGCGGCCUUCUAAGUCAGACGUGAAAUCCCCGGGCUUAACCUGGGAAUGGCAUUUGGGACUGCAAGGCUCGAGUGCGGCAGAGGAGACUGGAAUUCCUGGUGUAGCGGUGAAAUGCGCAGAUAUCAGGAGGAACACCGGUGGCGAAGGCGGGUCUCUGGGCCGAUAUCGACGCUGAGGAGCGAAAGCGUGGGGAGCGAACAGG